rnacentral:tRNA from 1 species
CAAAUUAAAGCUAAUUUAGUAUUUUAUUUACAAUAAAAAUUUUGAUUAAUAAAUAAUCUGAUUUGA